GUGGGGAAUAUUGGACAAUGGGCGAAAGCCUGAUCCAGCCAUGCCGCGUGAGUGAUGAAGGUCUUAGGAUUGUAAAAUUCUUUCACCGGGGACGAUAAUGACGGUACCCGGAGAAGAAGCCCCGGCUAACUUCGUGCCAGCAGCCGCGGUAAUACGAAGGGGGCUAGCGUUGCUCGGAAUUACUGGGCGUAAAGGGCGCGUAGGCGGACAGUUUAGUCAGAGGUGAAAGCCCAGGGCUCAACCUUGGAAUUGCCUUUGAUACUGGCUGUCUUGAGUACGGGAGAGGUGAGUGGAACUCCGAGUGUAGAGGUGAAAUUCGUAGAUAUUCGGAAGAACACCAGUGGCGAAGGCGACUCACUGGCCCGUUACUGACGCUGAGGCGCGAAAGCGUGGGGAGCAAACAGGAUUAGAUACCCGAGUAGUCC
rnacentral:rRNA from 1 species